UACGAAGGGGGCUAGCGUUGUUCGGAAUUACUGGGCGUAAAGCGCACGUAGGCGGACAUUUAAGUCAGGGGUGAAAUCCCAGAGCUCAACUCUGGAACUGCCUUUGAUACUGGAAAGCUCGAGUCCGGGAGAGGUGAGUGGAACUGCGAGUGUAGAGGUGAAAUUCGUAGAUAUUCGCAAGAACACCAGUGGCGAAGGCGGCUCACUGGCCCGGUACUGACGCUGAGGUGCGAAAGCGUGGGGAGCAAACAGG
rnacentral:rRNA from 1 species